UCGGUGAAUUCCAUGAUCCUAUGCUGCCGAGAAAAGCCUCUAGCGAGAUCUGAUGUGGCCCGUACCCCAAACCAACACAGGUGGUCAGGUAGAGAAUACCAAGGAGAUCGAGAGAACUGUGGUUAAGGAACUCGGCAAAAUGCCCCCGUAACUUCGGGAGAAGGGGGACCUCGCAUGGUGACCGGACUUUGCUCCGUGAGCGGUGUGGGGUCGCAGAGACCAGAGAGAAGCGACUGUUUACUAAAAACACAGGUCCAUGCGAAGUCGUAAGACGAUGUAUAUGGACUGACGCCUGCCCGGUGCUGGAAGGUUAAGAGGACCGGUUAGCCGUAAGGCGAAGCUGAGAAUUUAAGCCCCAGUAAACGGCGGUGGUAACUAUAACCAUCCUAAGGUAGCGAAAUUCCUUGUCGGGUAAGUUCCGACCUGCACGAAUGGCGUAACGACUUCUCUGCUGUCUCAACCACAGACUCGGCGAAAUUGCAGUACGAGUAAAGAUGCUCGUUACGCGCGGCAGGACGAAAAGACCCCGGGACCUUCACUAUAGCUUGGUAUUGGUGUUCGGUUCGGUUUGUGUAGGAUAGGUGGGAGACUGUGAAGCGGGCACGCCAGUGUUCGUGGAGUCGUUGUUGAAAUACCACUCUGAUCGUAUUGGAUACCUCAACCUCGGACCAUGAUCUGGUUCAGGGACAGUGCCUGGUGGGUAGUUUAACUGGGGCGGUUGCCUCCCAAAAUGUAACGGAGGCGCCCAAAGGUUCCCUCAGCCUGGUUGGCAAUCAGGUGUUGAGUGCAAGUGCACAAGGGAGCUUGACUGUGAGACUGACAGGUCGAGCAGGGACGAAAGUCGGGACUAGUGAUCCGGCACCGGCAAGUGGAAGCGGUGUCGCUCAACGGAUAAAAGGUACCCCGGGGAUAACAGGCUGAUCUUCCCCAAGAGUCCAUAUCGACGGGAUGGUUUGGCACCUCGAUGUCGGCUCGUCGCAUCCUGGGGCUGGAGUAGGUCCCAAGGGUUGGGCUGUUCGCCCAUUAAAGCGGCACGCGAGCUGGGUUUAGAACGUCGUGAGACAGUUCGGUCUCUAUCCGCCGCGCGCGUUAGAAACUUGAGGAAGGCUGUCCCUAGUACGAGAGGACCGGGACGGACGAACCUCUGGUGUGCCAGUUGUUCCACCAGGAGCACGGCUGGUUGGCUACGUUCGGAAGGGAUAACCGCUGAAAGCAUCUAAGCGGGAAGCCUGUUCCAAGAUUAGGUUUCUCACCACCUUGAGUGGGUAAGACCCCCUACAGACUAUGGGGUUGAUAGGCCAGAACUGGAAGCGCAGUAAUGCGUGCAGGUGACUGGUACUAAUCGGUCGAGGACUUAUC
rnacentral:rRNA from 1 species